rnacentral:tRNA from 2 species
GGGGCCGUAGCUCAGUUGGGAGAGCGCUACAAUGGCAUUGUAGAAGUCGUCGGUUCGAUCCCGUCCGGCUCCACCA